ACGGAAGGCAGCAGUGGGGAAUAUUGCACAAUGGGGGAAACCCUGAUGCAGCGACGCCGCGUGAGCGAUGAAGUAUUUCGGUAUGUAAAGCUCUGUCAGCAGGGAAGAUAAUGACGGUACCUGACUAAGAAGCACCGGCUAAAUACGUGCCAGCAGCCGCGGUAAUACGUAUGGUGCAAGCGUUAUCCGGAUUUACUGGGUGUAAAGGGAGCGUAGGUGGUCUGGCAAGCCAGAAGUGAAAACCCGGGGCUCAACCCCGUGGAUUGCUUUUGGAACUGUUGGACUAGAGUGCAGGAGGGGUGAGUGGAAUUCCCAGUGUAGCGGUGAAAUGCGUAGAUAUUGGGAGGAACACCAGUGGCGAAGGCGGCUCACUGGACUGUAACUGACACUGAGGCUCGAAAGCGUGGGGAGCAAACAGGAUUAGAUACCCUGGUA
rnacentral:rRNA from 1 species